GUCCUGGCUGUAAACGAUGGGCACUUGAUGUGGUGGGUACUGACCCCCGCCGUGUCGAAGCUAACGCGUUAAGUGCCCCGCCUGGGGAGUACGGUCUCAAGGCUGAAACUCAAAGGAAUUGACGGGGGCCCCGCACAAAGCGGUGGAGCAUGUGGUUUAAUUCGAUGCAACGCGAAGAACCUUACCUGGGUUUGAAUUGCUGGUUACAUCUCCAGAGAUGGAGCUUCCCUUCGGGGCACCAGUGAAGGUGUUGCAUGGCUGUCGU
rnacentral:rRNA from 1 species